AGUGAACGCUGGCGGUAGGCCUAACACAUGCAAGUCGAACGGCAGCACAGUAAGAGCUUGCUCUUACGGGUGGCGAGUGGCGGACGGGUGAGGAAUACAUCGGAAUCUACUUUUUCGUGGGGGAUAACGUAGGGAAAUUUACGCUAAUACCGCAUACGACCUACGGGUGAAAGCAGGGGAUCUUCGGACCUUGCGCGAUUGGAUGAGCCGAUGUCGGAUUAGCUAGUUGGCGGGGUAAAGGCCCACCAAGGCGACGAUCCGUAGCUGGUCUGAGAGGAUGAUCAGCCACACUGGAACUGAGACACGGUCCAGACUCCUAAGGGAGGCAGCAGUGGGGAAUAUUGGACAAUGGGCGCAAGCCUGAUCCAGCGAUACCGCGUGGGUGAAGAAGGCCUUCGGGUUGUAAAGCCCUUUUGUUGGGAAAGAAAAGCAGCAGGUUAAUACCCCGCUGUUCUGACGGUACCCAAAGAAUAAGCACCGGCUAACUUCGUG
rnacentral:rRNA from 1 species